AAACGCUUUGUUCAAAGGUUAAACUGCUUUCCUGCCGAACUCCCCCCGGACGGACAUGUUUCCGUCACGGUUUUAACGGGUGGGUUGUCUGGAAUUUAUUUGAGUAGGGGAGGCGAAACUGAGCUGGGUUAAACACGGAUUGAGGCUGUUAAACUGUGUUUGACUGUUUCCAAGUCAUUUUUAUCAGCGCGUUUGUCGACGGAGGAACAGUUGGUUUUACAACUGGUUAAGAUGUAAACCAGUCGCAGGCAGUGACUCAGCCUCAUCAUGGACGAGGUUAAAGAGGCUGUCCAUCUGUGAUUCCCCCACAAGGGCUUCAUGGUCCAGAUCGAAAAUCUCAGCGGUGAUAUAAAGCGACGAGCAGAGAGUAAGAACCAGUUGUCUUUUUGGGGGGAAAUCUUGCCCUACAGCCAAACUUGUCCGCAACAACAUGGAGGACUCGUAACAUUUAUAGUAGUAGUAAUAAUAAUAAUAAUAAUAAUAAUAAUAAUAAUAAUAAUAAUAAUACUGAGAAGACUCGUCAUUAGAUAACGCUGUUGCUACGGUGAUGACCCCUCAGGAGUGGUGACCCCGCCAUGCAGCCACUUUCAGUCGCGCGUCGCCGCACUGUCACGCUGCGCGCUGUCCUGCUGCUGCAGUUUUUGGUCGUCAUGGCGACGAAGACGUCACAAGGAGCGGGGUGCGCCCCCCGGUGGCACGAAGCUGUAAAAGCGGUGUUAAAAGUCAUUGCUGAUCUCUCUAAAACUGGCAAUCCCAUAAACUGCACACUGUACACUCCAGACGUAACAGUGGUUGACAGCUGCAAGAAGACAGCAGUGGGAUGCUUCUCUGCUGAACUCAACGUGGUGAUGUUUGAGUUUCGCAUCCAGAAACCAAAAUGGAGUCUAAAGAGAAUUCUGCAAGGAAUUGAAAAUAGUAUGGUGGACACUGGUGCCUGUGCGCAGUGUGAGAGCUACCAGGAGAGGCCAGUGGAAGUCUUCCUUGAUAAUCUCAAGAAUUUCCUGCAGCACAUGCUCUCUCAAGAAGAGUGUGGCAGGUAGCACUGGGCCCUGAGCUCCACACAUUGCGCCCGGAGGGAUCAUUGCCCGCAAGGCUGCUUCUCAGUGGCCAGCCACUCCAAUGGUUCCACACAAGACUAUGUGGCGCUUGGAACGGGACCAAUUUGACUCAACACAGCCAGAGAGCGAGGUGGGAGCAGGCUUUGUAAAAAACAUCAGUUACCACAUUGCUGUGUACCUGUGGGAGAAGUUUCUUUGCUCCUGUCCAGCUGUUGAAGAGCCUGGCUGAUGGGUAGGGUUUUAGUUUGGGCUCGGCACUGUCUUCGUUUUGUAGGUCUGAUGUUUUUGUGUUGGCAUCUCUUUCAUUUUUAUGUCAUAAAACUAGUCGUACACAAAAACAAAACGCAGACGAAAUUCAACACGAAACGUAUUAGUAGGAUUCGACUGGUACGAUUUCCAACACAUAAGAUUCACAGGGACAGUGACCUGCAGAGACCCGAGGUGAAACACUCAGAGACAAACGUUUGUUUUUUUGUUCGAAACUAAAGAGGUCCCAGCAGUAUGACAUUUCUAUAUAGUUGUUUUUUCUUACUGGUAUGCAUACCACCCUACUUUAACCACUAUCCUGAUUCUCCCCUGGAUAUAGAGAAUAUUUUUGAAUUCUCUGGACAUAUAUUAUUAUUAUUAUUAUUAUUUAUUUCUUAGCAGACGCCCUUAUCCAGGGCGACUUACAAUUGUUACAAGCUAUCACAUUAUACAUUAUUUCACAUUAUACAGUUAUCACGUUAUUUUUUUUACAUACAAUUGCCCAUUUAUACAGGUUUUUUACUGGAGCAAUCUAGGUAAAGUACCUUGCUCAAGGGUACAGCAGCAGUGUCCCCUACCUGGGAUUGAACCCACGACCCUCCGGUCAAGAGUCCAGAGCCCUAACCACUACUCCACACUGCUGCCCACACGCGCAUAUAUAUAUAUACUUACUGUAAACUGUACUGUAUUUAAAUAUGAAUCUUGCAUUGUAACCCUGUACUGCCCUUUGAUACCUGUAAGUCAACGUGGAUAAUGACGUCUGCCAAAUAAAUAAAUAGCAAUACUACGACUACUACUGCUAGUAAUAAUAAUAAUGUAUACCACAGUGACAUCUGGUGGUCAGAUAGGUGUACUGUCUAAUAUAAAAUCACACGAGGCGCAGUUUGUACGCAACACUAAAUCAGCUGGUCUUUAUAAUAUUUGACUUUUUUGUAAAAGAAAGUGUUUUUAAAACAAAAGAUAGCGGAGGUUGAAAAUUAAAGUCAGAACGUGGUGGAGACGUUUUCAAAGUUCAUUGUAACAAUGAAAAAUGAGGACUUUUUUUUUUUUUUUAACAAGCUUACAAAAAACUGUAUCACGUCACAGUUCUGCGGGUGAUAUUCUGAAAUGGAAAUGCAUUAUAUUAAUGUGUGGUUGUAUUUAUAUUACCGUUGUUUUGUUCAAUAAAAAACAUUUUUCAAACCUA